CAAACAAGCAGGCAAAAUAAGGGAAACUUUAUGACGCAAAGCUAUAGGACCUGUAAAAUGGUAGCCAGUUGCAACA
rnacentral:ncRNA from 1 species